rnacentral:rRNA from 1 species
UACGUAGGGUGCAAGCGUUGCCCGGAUUUAUUGGGCGUAAAGAGCUCGUAGGCGGUGUGUCACGUCGGCCGUGAAAACCUGCAGCUUAACUGUGGGCGUGCGGUCGAUACGGGCAUCACUGGAGUUCGGCAGGGGAGACUGGAAUUCCUGGUGUAGCGGUGAAAUGCGCAGAUAUCAGGAGGAACACCGGUGGCGAAGGCGGGUCUCUGGGCCGAUACUGACGCUGAGGAGCGAAAGCGUGGGGAGCAAACAGG